rnacentral:tRNA from 1 species
GGGCGGUUAGCUCAGCUGGUUAGAGCAUUCGGUUUACAUCCGAAAGGUCGUAGGUUCAAAUCCCACACCGCCCACCA